CCUACGGGAGGCAGCAGUGGGGAAUAUUGGGCAAUGGGCGCAAGCCUGACCCAGCAACGCCGCGUGAAGGAAGAAGGCUUUCGGGUUGUAAACUUCUUUUCUCAGGGACGAAGCAAGUGACGGUACCUGAGGAAUAAGCCACGGCUAACUACGUGCCAGCAGCCGCGGUAAUACGUAGGUGGCAAGCGUUAUCCGGAUUUACUGGGUGUAAAGGGCGUGUAGGCGGGAAAGCAAGUCAGAUGUGAAAACCAUGGGCUCAACCUGUGGCCUGCAUUUGAAACUGUUUUUCUUGAGUACUGGAGAGGCAGAGGGAAGUGCGAGUGUAGCGGUGAAAUCCGGAGAUAGCUGGAGGAACAUCAGUGGCGAAGGCGACUAUCUGGCACAUAACUGACGCUGAGGAGCGAAAGCGGGGGUAGCAAACAGGAUUAGAUACCCUUGUAGUC
rnacentral:rRNA from 1 species